UACGAAGGGUGCAAGCGUUACUCGGAAUUGCUGGGCGUAAAGCGUGCGUAGGUGGUUUGUUAAGUCUGUUGUGAAAGCCCUCGGCUCAACCGAGGAAUGGCGCUCCAAACUACCGUGCUCGAGGAAGACAGAGGUAAGCGGAACUGAGGGUGGAGCGGUGAAAUGCGUUGAUAUCCUCAGGAACACCGGUGGCGAAAGCGGCUUACUGGGUCUUUUCUGACGCUGAGGCACGAAAGCUAGGGUAGCAAACGGG
rnacentral:rRNA from 1 species